AAACAAGAGAGUUGGUCAGCGGGGAGCACAUCUUAGGAGGUGAAGCUAGACCCUCAGCGUGCAGGGUAAUCUGGGGAAGAGGAGGCUGUGAGAUGGGGGCGUGCACCGGCAGGGAGGUGACAAGUCUCAGCAAAAAGCAGCGGGCGUGACCUCGGCGCAUCCAUUAGAGGUGCUCGUCGCCAUGGAGACCAGACAAGUGGGCGAGCAGCCAGGGGGGCAGGAACAAAGCGGCUGCUGGUGCGAUGCUCACGGAGAGCCUUGGAGCUAAAUGCACCUGAGGUGGCUGAGUGGAGACUUGGGGUUGCCCGGAUGUCCACCGAGACGUGCAUGGAGGAAGGGAAGGCCACAGCUGUGACUCCACAGGACAGAAGGAGCUCAGAAAAGUUCCAGGAAAUGUCUGGUGGCUCUGAGCUGAAUUUCAGACUUGGCCAAUUCUGGAUCUUGUUAAUGACAUGUGUUGAUAAAGCCAUGCAGAGCUUGGGAGAACGCCCCCUCCACCCUCCCUGGGUCCAGGCCUGCCACGGACCCUGACUCUCCUCGCACUCGCGGACACCUGGGAACUGCCCCCAGCAUCUGGAGGCAAGCCCUGGAGGGUGUGGUGAGGUGACACCCAGAAGUGGGAGUGCAACUUUACAGGCAACGGCCUCAUGGCAAUUGAUUUGGAAGCAACAUCUGAAAGGAAGGAGGGGAAGAGUGUUGCUUAGUGAAGGGUAAUUGACAUUUGUCAUAGAAAAAUACAAUUAAAA
rnacentral:lncRNA from 1 species